GUGGGCGUAGUUUAAUGGUAAAACUCCUCGUUGUGGUCGAGGUAUCGGCGGUUCGAUUCCGCUCGCUCACC
rnacentral:tRNA from 1 species